UAGUCGAGCGGAUGACGGGAGCUUGCUCCUUGAUUCAGCGGCGGACGGGUGAGUAAUGCCUAGGAAUCUGCCUGGUAGUGGGGGACAACGUUUCGAAAGGAACGCUAAUACCGCAUACGUCCUACGGGAGAAAGCAGGGGACCUUCGGGCCUUGCGCUAUCAGAUGAGCCUAGGUCGGAUUAGCUAGUUGGUGGGGUAAUGGCUCACCAAGGCGACGAUCCGUAACUGGUCUGAGAGGAUGAUCAGUCACACUGGAACUGAGACACGGUCCAGACUCCUACGGGAGGCAGCAGUGGGGAAUAUUGGACAAUGGGCGAAAGCCUGAUCCAGCCAUGCCGCGUGUGUGAAGAAGGUCUUCGGAUUGUAAAGCACUUUAAGUUGGGAGGAAGGGCAGUAAGCUAAUACCUUGCUGUUUUGACGUUACCGACAGAAUAAGCACCGGCUAACUCUGUGCCAGCAGCCGCGGUAAUACAGAGGGUGCAAGCGUUAAUCGGAAUUACUGGGCGUAAAGCGCGCGUAGGUGGUUUGUUAAGUUGGAUGUGAAAGCCCCGGGCUCAACCUGGGAACUGCAUCCAAAACUGGCAAGCUAGAGUACGGUAGAGGGUGGUGGAAUUUCCUGUGUAGCGGUGAAAUGCGUAGAUAUAGGAAGG
rnacentral:rRNA from 1 species